CCUACGGGUGGCUGCAGUGAGGAAUAUUGGUCAAUGGACGAGAGUCUGAACCAGCCAAGUAGCGUGAAGGAUGACUGCCCUAUGGGUUGUAAACUUCUUUUAUAUGGGAAUAAAACGUUCCACGUGUGGGAUUUUGUAUGUACCAUAUGAAUAAGGAUCGGCUAACUCCGUGCCAGCAGCCGCGGUCAUACGGAGGUUCCAAGCGUUAUCCGGAUUUAUUGGGUUUAAAGGGAGCGUAGGUGGAUUGUUAAGUCAGUUGUGAAAGUUUGCGGCUCAACCGUAAAAUUGCAGUUGAAACUGGCAGUCUUGAGUACAGUAGAGGUGGGCGGAAUUCGUGGUGUAGCGGUGAAAUGCUUAGAUAUCACGAAGAACUCCGAUUGCGAAGGCAGUUCACUGGACUGCAACUGACACUGAGGCUCGAAAGUGUGGGUAUCAAACAGGAUUAGAUACCCCAGUAGUC
rnacentral:rRNA from 1 species